rnacentral:rRNA from 1 species
GACGAAGGAUGCAAGCGUUAUCCGGAUUCAUUGGGUUUAAAGGGAGCGUAGGCGGCCCGAUAAGUCAGUGGUGAAAUCUCCUCGCUUAACGAGGAAAUUGCCAUUGAUACUGUUGGGCUUGAGUACAAUUGCCGUUGGCGGAAUAUGACAUGUAGUGGUGAAAUACAUAGAGAUGUCAUAGAACACCGAUUGCGAAGGCAGCUAACGAAACUGUAACUGACGCUGAGGCUCGAAAGUGCGGGGAUCAAACAGG